rnacentral:rRNA from 1 species
GACGAACGCUGGCGGCGUGCUUAACACAUGCAAGUCGAACGGAAAGGCCGUGCUUUUGUGGGGUGCUCGAGUGGCGAACGGGUGAGUAACACGUGAGUAACCUGCACUUGACUUUGGGAUAACUUCAGGAAACUGGGGCUAAUACCGGAUAGGAGCUCCUGCUGCAUGGUGGGGGUUGGAAAGUUUCGGCGGUUGGGGAUGGACUCGCGGCUUAUUAGCUUGUUGGUGGGGUAGUGGCUGACGAAGGCUAUGAAGGGUAGCCGGCCUGCGAGGGUGACCGGCCCCAUUGGGAUUGGGAUGCGGCCCAGACUCCAACGGUAGGCAGCGGUGGGGAGUAUUGCACUAUGGGCUGAACCCUGGUGCAGCAACGCCGCGUGCUGUAUGUCGACCUUCGGUUUGUAUACCGCUGCCGCCUUUGACGAAACGUUAGUGACGGUAAUGGGUAAAUAAGCACCGGCUAACUACGUG